CAAAAGAGUGGGGAGAGCUUUGAGUAGAGGUGAUAAACCUACCGAGCCCAGUUAUAGCUGGUUGCCUGAGAAAUGAAUAGAAGUUCAGCCCUUUAAGUCUUUCCCCGCCCACAACGCAUGCCUAAAUAGGCCAAGGAAACUAAAGGAGUUAAUCAGAAGGGGUACAGCCCUUCUGAUAAAAGAAACAACUUUAACAGGUGACCCAAGAUCAUAUUAACCAAGGAUUCUAAAUUAAGUGGGCCUAAGAGCAGCCAUCUUAACAGAAAGCGUUAAAGCUCAAAUUAUACACCAUCCGCAUAUACUGAUAUUUCAUCUCCCUCCCUGCUUUCUACCAGGCUGUCCUAUGCUCCCAUAGGAACAAUUAUGCUAAAAUGAGUAAUAAGAAGAAUAUCGUUCUUCUCCAAGCACGCGUGUAAGUCGGAGCGGACCUCCCACCGACCAUUAACCGACCCCAAACCCAGAGGGACAUAAGUCGUUCCAACAAGAAAACCACUUAUUUUAAACCGUUAGCCCUACACAGGCGUGCCCCAAGGAAAGACUAAAAGAGAAGGAAGGAACUCGGCAAACACAAGCCUCGCCUGUUUACCAAAAACAUCGCCUCUUGUCCCUCAAAAUAUAAGAGGUCCCGCCUGCCCUGUGACUAUAUGUUUAACGGCCGCGGUAUCUUAACCGUGCGAAGGUAGCGUAAUCACUUGUCUUUUAAAUGAAGACCUGUAUGAAUGGCAUCACGAGGGCUUAACUGUCUCCCCUCUCCAGUCAAUGAAAUUGACCUCCCCGUGCAGAGGCGGGGAUAUCUUUAUAAGACGAGAAGACCCUGUGGAGCUUUAGACCUAAAAUAAACCACGUUUAAUGUACUAGUAUUAAUAGCAAAAACUUAGUGGACAAUUAUUAAAGUGUCUUUGGUUGGGGCGACCGCGGAGUAAAACACAACCUCCAUGUGGACGGGGAUACUAUCCCCAAAACUCAGAGCCUCCACUCCAAGCAACAGAAAUUCUGACCUAGCUGAUCCGGUAUACCGAUUAACGAACCCAGUUACCCCAGGGAUAACAGCGCAAUCCCCUCUCAGAGCUCAUAUCGACGAGGGGGUUU
rnacentral:rRNA from 1 species